rnacentral:snRNA from 1 species
AUCGCUUCUCGGCCUUUUGGCUAAGAUCAAGUGUAGUAACAAUAUAAGUCUUCUAAUCCAUGAAGAUGUAUUUGUUUUUGUUUAUUUGUAUUUUCUUUAAUUGCUUUCAGCAGUGUUUUGUAGUUUUCAUUGUAUAAGUCAUUCACC